UACGUAGGGGGCGAGCGUUGUCCGGAUUUAUUGGGCGUAAAGGGCUCGUAGGCGGUCCAUCGCGUCGGGAGUGAAAAGCUGGGGCUUAACCCCAGUCCUGCUUCCGAUACGGGUGGACUAGAGGUAGGUAGGGGAGAACGGAAUUCCUGGUGUAGCGGUGAAAUGCGCAGAUAUCAGGAGGAACACCGGUGGCGAAGGCGGGUCUCUGGACAGUUCCUGACACUGAGGCACGAAGGCCAGGGGAGCAAACGGG
rnacentral:rRNA from 1 species